CACCGCGCAAACCGCCGGGGGGCUGAAGGGGGGAGGGGCCCGCGCACGCGCAGAGCUGCACAACAUGGCGGCUACGAGAGGUCAGGGAAGGGAGAGAGAGGAGAGAGCUGUGGAGCUGCCCUGUGGCCCUCACUGUGAAGGUGCUGGCUGGAACCGGGAAGCCCGCUGCACCAGUGGCCACCUGGGUCUGAGACUUCCAGAGUCGACUGGGACAGCAGCAGUUCUAAGGAGAGCAGAAGGACCUAACUCCAACUGGGGGGUCCAGGCGGGCUUUUUGGGGGAAACCAUCGUGACCUCCGGAGCAGAUGACACGUACGCUUUCCCCCAGCGUGACUCAAAGGAUGUGAGGUUCCUGCAGAAGGCGGCCUAAAAGUGGAUGGAAAGGAAGGUCAGGCUGGGAGUGGGAUCAGACUUGCCUGAGACCACACAGCGAUGGAAAGGCUCUAAUUUUCCUACAGCCAAGACUCAAAUCUGGGUCCUCUUGCAACCUCAGUGGAUCUGGAGAAGGUUAGUAUACAAGCAGGACAAAAUGAUGCAGAGUGAUAAUUGUUUGCCCCCAAAUUCAGCUCCAAGUACUAAAUGUCAGGCUGGGGAGGUUGAUAUAUCCAGGCAGGUUACCUGAGCUUGAAUUUAGGAGAUCCCAGGAAGCAGCUUCCCACGGAGGCCUGGCUCCUUGGAAAGCAGAGAGCAUCAAAGCAGCCUGGAGGACAGAGAUGGGGCCAUGUGUGGGAGAUGGGGGCCCAGGAAGGAAGGGGCAAGGUAAGAAGCAGCUCCGACUCACUCAUGCCAAGAUCCUGCCCUGAGCCAGAGCCACCACCCCAACCUCCUGAGAGUGGUAAGGGCCCAGGCAAGGAGUCCCUGUGCCCCCUGCCCCAGAGAAGAGCAAUCUUCCUAGAAAGGGAGGUGAUGGGUGUGUAGAGUGUCAUCACACUGGAGCCUCGGACACAACAUUUAUCAUCCUCGCUUCAUGUCAGAACUAGGAGAGCAGGCACAUGGCACUUACUGAGUCUGGCCUGGCCCACAGCAAUCCACCUCGUGAAUAGAGGCCCCAGCUGGUGUAUUUAAUGAGAGAAGAGAGAUCUGCCACAGACCGAAUGAUUGUGUCUCCCUAAAUUCACGUUGCUGAGACCUAACCCUUGGUGUGAUAGUGUUAGGAGGUGAGGCCUUUGGGGCGAUUAGGUCAUGAGGUAGAGCUGAGCGCUCUUAGAAGCUCCAGAAAGCGCCCUCACCCCUGCCACCACACAGGGACACAUUAGGCGUCGCGCUCUGUGAGCCCCACCAGACCCCAUGUCUGCAGGCUCCUUGAUUUUGAAUGUCCAGCCUCUGGGCUGUGGUAAAUAAAUAUCCAUUGUUUGUAAACCCCCCAGGCUGUGAUGUUCUGUUACAGCAGCCUGUGUGGACCCAGAUGAGUUCCCCAUUAAGUUCGGGGAUAACUUAUUACAUAGACACAUGGGGUGGCCAGAGCCAUCUGUUACUUGGAGGGUUUGGAAUUCUAAUAAGAAAAAGCACCCAUCACGAUGUGUCCGCUCUCCUGCCCAGGAGCACCGAGCCCACUGUCUGCCCAUUGCUCAGUGAACAACAGCUCUGAGUGCGUGUUGAGGGGUGCUCAGCACUUGGUCCUGAGGCAGAUAGCAAUACCUCGUUUUACAGACAAGACAAUUGAGGCUCAGUUGAGCUCACAUCACUCAGCUGAGUAGUCACGAUGAGGGCAGGCCAGCUUCCUGGUCCGGGUCAUGAUCAUGAGUGUGUCUGUGUCACCAGCUCUCUCUAUCCGGGACAGUCCUAUCCUCCCUCCCACCCUAACUGACCCUGCUCAAGCCUCUCGCUCCGUGCAGCCCUCUUGAUGCCUCCUGACUUUCCAUCUCCCCUCCUGGUCCCUGGAGCCUGGCCCCCCAAUCCAAGCAGUUGCUCCUGAUUCCUGCCCCUAACUGCCCUGCAGCGUGCACCAGAGUCUGGCUUCCCUGUGGUUCCAGCAAUGGUGCAGGGCUUGGAAGACAAGAGUAGAGGCAGCAGGCAUGAGCCCUAGGCCAAGGUGACCCAUCAGCUUCUCUGGGCUGGGAAAAGAGAAGGUGUGAUGGAUCACACCAUUUGGGGCCCUCUGGCCUGGGGGACAGAGAGAAGCAGGAUCCCAUGGAGCUGAUGGAAGGCGUGCCCUCUGAGGCUGGCUAGUGGCAGCCUCCUGACUCCACCUCCCUGCAGUCAGCGGGGGUGACUUGUUUGGAUGCAGAUGGUAGAGUGUACACCAAGCAUGACACUGACCCCAAUAAAUGUCUACGUCUGCCCUUUUGCUGAGCUUUAUGCAGUGGCUACAUUGAAAACUGUGGGUACCCUUAUGCCCACCUUUCUGGGGCCUCUGUAGAAAAGCCCAAGGGACUGAAUGCUAAAGGACCCUUUCUCACUGGAAAGAUUCCCAUAGAGAAAAUGAGUGGGAAAAACUAGAGAGGGUGACAAAACAUGAGAGACUCCUAACUCUGGGAAAUGAA